CACACUAUUCUUUUUUAAUCAAUUAUAAUUUACAAUUCUCUUGGCAUAUUAUUAUAUAUUAAGAAGAUGAAUAAUUUUUUCCUUUUGCUUUGUUUAACUUCAUUUUUGAUGUAUGCCAGUUGCCAGAUCACAGUGUCAAUCUCAGGUCCUAGUUUAUUGAAACCCAAGGACAACAUAAGACUGAUUUGUAAAGUGGAAGGAGCGCAGAUCACUGAUGGGAGUAAGAUUCACGCUGUUGAUUUUACAAGGCAGCUAAAUGGAGAUACAUUUGAAUUUCUGGCUCACCUUAAUUAUGCAGAGGGCACAGCAUUCAAUCCAACUCUGAAGAGCAGACUUACCUUGUCCAGAGACACUGGCAAAAAUGAGGUUUAUUUGGAUUACAGUCAACUGAUGACAGAAGAUUCAGGAACCUAUUACUGUACCAAGCACACAGUGUGCAAAGACAGUGAGGAACCUGAACUAAAACCACAAGCACUUAUAUAA